CCCCAGUCCAGCCCCACCCCAGCUCAGGGCCUCCUCCGGCCCCCGCAACCAGCAGGGCCCUGAACUUUACAUCUGAAAGCUUUCAGCUGACAUCUUAAAGUCACUGAAAGCAGAGAGCAGAGCUUUAUUAUAACAAUGAACAACAGCCAAUAAGGUGAGAGUGAGAGCGAGGGAGGUGAUGUGAUAGGACAAGAGGGUAAGAUUGUUCGUAAAGUUUGAUUGGUGGAAUAAAUAAAUCGUGUUUUUACUCAAUCAAAGUUCACUUUUUAGGCUUUUAAAAACAGAUUUAAUUAUAUAUUUAUAUCUAAAGGUUAACAAAUGUGCACAGAAUCUGAAGACAGUGAGAUAAAGCACAUGUGAAGUCCUCUGCAUUUAUUUACAUUUUCCUGAUGAUUCACACACUUUCCGUUUUCAUUGUUUCCUCUGAGUGAAAGAACAAACAUUUUUCAGCGCUUCAAAGAUUCAAAGCUAAACUGCACUUUUUUAUAUCUCUAAAUUCUUCAUGAUUCUGGUCGAGUCACUUACCUACAGGGAGAUAAAUAAUGUUACAGAUGUGCUCAUUGAUCUGAUGUCAUUAAUGUAAUCAUCUGUCACAGCUCUCAGGUGUAAAAGAACUCGACAAACAAGCCCAAGAAAAGAGAGGAUAAAUCUACUAUAUGGAUGAAGGCCGUGUGGUAAUGGAGCCGUGUCUGAGUACAGGAUUUCCAGCGGCUGAUGCUCUUUUUCAGAGCGAUGUGUAAUCAACAGUCAAAGAGGUAAACAUGAGCGAACACUCUGAGACUGUCGAUCCGCUUCAUUCUGGACCUGAUCUCGUUUUUAUCCCAUCUGUUAUCAUCAGGUUUGAUGGUCCACUCUGUUAUCUGCUGGGUCAGGACGACGUGCUCAGGCGUCGUUAACCUGUCUGCAGCUGUUGCUAUGGUAACACUACAGGUAAGAGCAAGCACACUAACUGAUGAUGAGCUUUGAUAGUAGUCAUAGAUACAUCAGUUAGUGAAUCAGUGGAUGUUGAAAAUGAUACAAACUUUAAUUUUAGCUGCUCCGAGAAAAAAAGUGCGAUUUGGAAACCUGAACUUUUGAAAUCAGCCCACAGAUCAAUCAUCAUGUUUGUGGAUCCACGUGCACGUGCAAUUACAGCUGUUUUUGACAACAGUUUGAUGGUCCCAUUUAAAGCUUUUCUUGGUCACAAAGGGGCGCCAGUAUACCUGCAAACAUCUGGGUUAUAAAAUCUGGGAGAUUUUUGCAGCGCGCGCCGUUUUUAGAGUUACCUUGUAUGGUGGAUAUGAGGUAAUUAUGAGUAUUUGUAAUUAAAUUGCUCAUCCAAAGAAGUCUAAGUGAAGCUGCACACUUUUUUGUUUUAAUAAUAACAAAUGGUAAUAAAAAAAAAUAAUAGCUACGAUAUGCCUUGAACUUAUUUAGUCCACUAAUAUUAGUAUUAAAUUCUUCAUAUGUUUUACAUGCUCUCUCCAGUAUGAGGCUCUCUGAACAUCUGUGUGUGAAAUACAGCACUGUUUUAUCUGAGGCUGCCCUGAAUGCAUCACUCCCAGACGGUGCAAGACUCUCAACGUAAAUAUUCUAUCUCACGUUUGUUUCCCUUUUAUUUUUAGUGUUAAUUUUGCUUAAAUAUAGUUUACACCUUACACCGACCUGAAUCAUUCCAAACUGUAAGAACUUUGGUUGUCUGACAACUUUGGACAAAUUUAGUGAACGAUUCAUGAAUGAAUGUGGACCAUCAAACAACGGGAGAAAUGACAAUACGGGAGACAGAUAGGUCUGAGUGUGUUGGCAGGUAUGGACGCUAGUAUCACUUUCAAUCAUUUCACAACCAGCCUAAAACUCCUCACUGUGGCUUUAAGCACCAGGACCUCACAAAUCGGGCUCAGCGCAGUUCUUCAGUGAUGGCCGUCUGAAAAACAGAGUUCAAGCAGCAAAACUGUGACUUGAUAGUUCUUUCUUGUUGUCAUUGCAGGACUUUUUAAAAAUGAUCUAGAGUUCAGUUUUAUUUGUGGAAUAAAAAGCAUGUCAUAAACAUCUUUAAAGAGGUUUCCUUCCAUAAUGAGCGUCAGUUUCUGGACAACCGUAAACACUUUAAAUUUGUAGUUUGGUUGUUUGCUCGUAGCCGACCCUCUGAUCUGGAGUACAAAAACAACUUUACAGUUUCACCCACAUCAUUUUCCAACAAACACUCAGCACAUUUACAUUUUUUUUUUGCAUUUAUUGGAUGCUGUUGUCCAGAGCAAAGAUCAGAUUAAACUCACUGAUCGCCCACAGUAAGGACAUUUAAAUUUAACUCACUAAAUCUGAGAUUUAUCACCUGGAGGAACUUCAGUUACCGUCUACACCUCCACUGCUGGCAGGACCACAAGGCAGCGAGCAGAUCUGAGGAGGGUUUUCUUUGGAGAGGACUUGAUGGCUCAGUUUGUAGUUUGGUAACAGAAAAAGGACAAAACUUUUAGGACAAAACCACUUCUAUUUAUCGAUUUAUCUGCAGGAGGAUACAGGUGUGCCGCUUUGGCAACAAUCCUUCUGGCAUCCUGAGGUGAAUCUGUUAAUGUAAGCAAUAGUUUCCUCUGUUUUGCAUUGGUUUUGGUUGGUGUGAGAGAGUCAAACAUGGCUGACCAGUUCAGUGAUCCAGUAUUUAGUGCAGAAAGAAUCGGUGAUGGCUGAUUUUCUCGUCACUCUUUUAUGAAUCUCAGUGCAGACAGUUUCCUCUCCGGAUGAUAUCUGAUAUUUAAUUAAUGACAGAUAAACUUUUAUGUCCUCUGUGUGUUCAGCCCUGUCGUCUCUUUGCUGUCAUAUCAAUGUGUACAUUAUUUGUCGGCACGUCUCCGCAUUAAUGUCACCAAGACAAAUCCCUGUGCAUUCAUUGUGCAGUGUGAUUAAAGUGAUGCUGGUAGUGAUGUGCUGCAGGGACGUGGGCAGGGCGAUGUGGGUACUUGUGCGUGAGGAGCCCUAAGUUGCAGAGGUUUUUUUCUAAUUGAGUCAGGGACUUAUGCUGGCAAAGGUAGGCGUGUGAGUGGGGGGGAGACUAAUCCCAAGCUGCUGUUGUUUUUCGUGCCUGCUGGCUCAAGAUCAAAAACUUAACAGCAAUAAUCAUGCAAAAUGUGUGGCUUCACUUCAAAGCUUGCCUCAACUUUGCUCACACCCUGAGCUCGUAUUGUUUCAUCAUUUUUCUUCCAGUUUUGCUUCUCCUCUCUGCGUCUCCUGUGAGGGUUUUUUCCCCUGUUAGUGUUCAUCUUUUGUCACAUAUCAGCCUGUCAGUCCAGGAGGUUUGACGACAAUCUGAUAGCAGCUGUGACCUUUCUGAAGCAGCCCAAAAUUAAGACGCCGAACAGGUUAAUCACACGCUCACAUCAGUGAAAGUUGAGGCGUUUUUGUCUCACACGCCUAAUUGAAGGCCGUCGGUUUCUCUCUGACUGCAGUGUGUGGUCGUGGCGAGGGAGCGUCAGCCUCCGCCUGCAGAUAGCAGACAUGUCAGACGUCAGCAGCACUCUCAGUGUGAGGAUGCCGUGGGCGGCGAGGGUCGCUGAGGCCCAUACGUGGCCAAAAUGGGCAAAUCCCCUCCACGUCAGCCCACGGCCUGUCAGCAGGGACGAGCAGGGUUUCACACUGAAGCUUUAAAGGUGCAGCACUUAGCAUUUAAAGACCAGGAACAACUGCACCACAUUAAUAACGCCUGGCUGUGUUUCUGAACCCACUGCUGUGCUGCACAAAGAUUUCUGCUUCAAGUGACCUUUCAGUGUCUGUGAAAGAGAUAAGACACCAAAUCUAAAAAGGCGUAAAAGUUCCGUUUCUUCUGCUUAUUCUCGACUGAUUCUCAUUUUUCUCAUAUCGAAAACAUGAUAUUUGUCCUAUUUGAUGUUUUGCACAUCAUGAUGCACAUUUUUUAACAUCCUGACACGUCUUUGUCUUUAAAUCCCUGAAUUUAGUCACUUCUCAUCCCUUUACUUUGUUGUCGAAAUGUUAGCUAAGGUUUUCCUUGUUUUGGUGUAGUCCGUAGCAGAAAGGGCUUUCAAAAGGAUAAUAAUAAUCAUAAUGAUAAUAAUAAUAAUGCUUUUUAUUUAUAGAUGCCUAUAUUCAAAGCACUCAAGAGACAAACAAAUAAAUAGUCCACAAAAUAACGAUGGAAAAACAGAUGUGACAGUUGUUUGUGUGUCGCUGUCACAUAUCGCACACCUGCUCAGCGCUUAUAGUCACUUUCAGCACAAGCAUUCUGAACUUCUGGUAUUCUCACUCAUGGUCACUGACUCAACGGUGUGAUUCAGACUCGUGUUUAAAGACACAUCAACACAAAAGUCGGGUUUUCGUUUAACCUUUUUCCCUUUUUUUUACGCUGUCGUCUUUUUAACCACAAGGCCACCCUGUCACAGGUCGAGCCCACUUUACACGAGGAUGAGUCAACAUGUGUCAUGACUGUAAUAGUUCAACACCCUGAUUAGCAUAUUUCAUUAUUUACAUGCAGGCGUCGAUUCUUCAUAUAAAAGUCUGAUGACGUGUGUUUUUAAAUCUGAGGCUGUUUUUAUGCAGAAAUUUACUUCCACUCUUCCACAAAGGUUUGGAUGCUGUGUUCAAUGUUGAAAAAGCAGAUUUUUGUGGUUUGUGAAUCAUUUCGAGUCUAUUUUGAAAAUAACAAAUGAGAACAAUUCAAGCGUUGAAACUUAAAAAUGUUUUUGUUUUAUGAAAGAGUAACCAGCAACGAAUCCUGAUGCUUCUUUUUCCGUCUCCUUUAACACACUCGUAGGAAAAAUACGGCGCUUUUAAUAAUCACAUUCAUAAAGUUCACCUCUAACUUUUGCCUGUAACAGAGUAUUUUUACACAGUGGAAUCGAUCCUUUCACUCAGACUCCUCUGUUUACAGUGAAGUCAUCAGGAGCACAGAAUAACUUUCUUGGACUCGAACGUGAAGCGUCCUUUUCAGCUCUUGG
rnacentral:lncRNA from 1 species